AGCUGAUGCAGCAUGCCGCGUGUGUGAAGAAGGCUUCGGGUUGUAAAGAGGUGAGGAAGGUAGUGUAGUUAAUAGCUGCAUUAGACGUUAGCGACAGAAGAAGCACCGGCUAACUCCGUGCCAGCAGCCGCGGUAAUACGGAGGGUGCGAUUAAUCGGAAUUACUGGGCGUAAAGCGCAUGCAGGUGGUUUGUUAAGUCAGAUGUGAAAGCCCGGGGCUCAACCUCGGAAUAGCAUUUGAAACUGGCAGACUAGAGUACUGUAGAGGGGGGUAGAAUUUCAGGUGUAGCGGUGAAAUGCGUAGAGAUCUGAAGGAAUACCGGUGGCGAAGGCGGCCCCCUGGACAGAUACUGACACUCAGAUGCGAAAGCGUGGGGAGCAAAAGGAUUAAUACCCUGGUAGUCCACGCCGUAAACGAUGUUACUGUUGUGGCCUUGAGCCGUGGCUUUCGGAGCUAACGCGUAAGUAGACCGC
rnacentral:rRNA from 2 species